UUAUUUUCUUAUUUAUUUAUUUAUUUUUAAGACGUAUUAACAACUCCGUGAUGACGGGUGGGAAAAAAAAAAAAAAAAAGAGGAGACGCGAGGUUUUCUGGGGUGUGUGUGUAUGUGUGUGUGUGUGUAUCGGGUGUGACACCCACGCCGCGCUCCUCCUUCAAAUCGCUCCGAGGGAGGUGAGCGGGGAGGUCUACUGGACCCCUCCACACCCUCUACCCUCCUCGGGGACCCACACAGCCCUGGGCUGCGGGAGGGGAGGGCGGGUGGAUGGAUGGGGAGCCACCCCCGCAUCCCCCCGCUCCGGUUUUUGCAGGAGCCGCCCCGAGUGGGUCUCAUCCUUCCUAUCCCAGGGGAGAGCGCGGGGGACCCCCCCCAAGGAAGGGGGGGGGCGGUCACGGCGGCAGUCCCCGGUGCGGGGUUCGCGGCCGCCGCGCCCGCCUCCGCCCCCGGCACGGCGCUGGGGGGGGGCUCUGGCGCGCGGGGGGAGGCCGGAGCCUGGAAAGGUGAGAGCUCGGAUUGCCGGAGUGCCGAAAGGAAGCUGCCAUUUGCGAGCUGUGAAAGACGGGCGUUAAAACAGUCUGCUAUAAAUAUAGUUUAUCUGGAGAAGAAGCUGACACCUGAAGUGGAGAGACCCAUGUGACAGUGUACUCUGCAGUACACACACACACCACCACCAGCUUAAGUAGAGAAUCAGAUCUGAGAAGAUAACCAUCAAUGGCAAUCAUGAUGGUUGUGCCUGGUCACCAUGGCUGUAUCCUGAAUUUGGGGGAGACAGAAGACAAAUAGCCAAGGUCUAAUCUGAGCAAUGCAUAUCUCCCACACCCUAACCACACUGCUGUUCAAAUUUGGAAGAAAGUCCAUAUCAAGCCAAAUUUGGAAGAAAAUAAUAUCUGUGUGCAAAUGUGGCCAUAAGUCAAUCAUCUUACACCAUAAAUAGUGAGCAGCUCGAGAGCCCUCUGAGCUUUCUGGAAAUGACAGUGAGCUGCAAGCCAGGAUCUCCCCUUGGGCAGGGAUUCUUCCCAGGGUUACUUCUGCAGACUGAGAGGGCCCUUAUCACUACAGAUAGUUGGUGAAAAAGGAUAGAUACUGUUCAGUGGACUUGGAAUUGUCUUUAGAGUUCAGUUAGAACGCACCCAGAACAUCCCACAUGGACCCCUUCACAACAACCACUGUGAUGUGAUGGGCAUACCAUUCCAGGUACUAGGGUCUUCAAUCUGUCUAGCAUCUAGCCAGUAUCAAGGGGUUAGGAGCUACUGUGAUGCAUGAGAUGAGUCAUCUGCUGCUGAGAUCUUGGAAGCAAGACUAAUCAUUAACACACAUAUUGUUGGCAGUCUAAACUGUUCCCAUAUCACGACCCAGAGUUAUAGGAGAUGGGAACUCUCACCUUGCCUAGCAGAAACAUCACUACUCUGCAUUCUCACCACGGCAUUGCUCACACAGUGGAAGAAAUUGUACUUGCUUGGCAGAACAAAAUUUUUAGUUAGGCCGGCAAGAAAUUUCAGUGUCUCAGAGAACUCAGAGAAAUUCUUUUUCAGAGACUUUUAUUAUUUUUUAUUUUUAUUUAUUUAUUUAUUUAUUAGACAUGGGGACAUUUCCUUUUGUGAACAGGUCUUCCUCCUAUUCCAUGAUUUUGGCCAACAAGGUUCACAAAGAGAAUGUGCUGCAAAGAGCUAUAGGUGGACAAGUACUAAAUUCUGCAUAUUCCCACUGCAAAGGCUGUUAACCCUAGUAGAAAUUAGGCAGAUGCCUGCCUGAUAUUAUUAUUAGAGUUUAUGUUUCACACAAAUGAUAAAUCAUUGCUAUAAAAGUUGGAAAUAAUUUCCACCGGUAACAUUGAGAAUACAUGAUGUAUUGCUCCUAUUACAUUUACAUCUCUUUCCAUCUCUUUUCCUUUGAUCUCUUUUCUUUUUCACAAUUUUUGUAGACCCUGUUUUGCUCUUCUUUCCAGAAUUAAAACUUCAUGAGUUAGUCCAGAGGAGGUCAUAUUAAACUCGCAUUAGGAAUACUGUGAAGAGACAUUUUCAAUCCAAGGAAGUAAACAAUUUCCAUCUUUGAAAUAAUAAGAAUGCAUAUCUGCCAACAUUACAUUCUGUCAAAUAUUUAAUAGAUUAAAAUAAUAAUAAUAAUAAUAAAAGAAACAGUUUGGUCCUAAAAAAAAAGUAUAUAUAUCUUUAAGACAUUACACAUUUUAUUUUAUUUUGUUCUAUUUUUUUUUCUAAUACAUUAUUUCUUAAUCAUUAAUGUAAUGUUGUUUUUGGAAGUUUCUAAUUACACUACUCUGAUAACCACAUGGGACCUUAAUUAAAGAUUGUAAUCCAUUGCAAAAUGUACAUGUGUAUAAUGAAAAGGCAAUUAAGAUAUGUUGUUAGAUAACUAGGUUUUAUUACUUAAACUAAACCAAAUAGAUACAGUUUCUUAAAAAAAAAGAAAAAAAAAAAAAGAAAAAAAAAAAAAAGGUCAGAAAGCAUGAUAUUUCUCUAUGUUGCAGUUCUCUGCUAUCCAGCAGUGAAAACAAUAAUUAUCAGUUCUUCAUGUUCUUAGAGUUGGCAGUGUUAUUAGUUUGCAUGAAGAAUAUAGCCAUGCAAAAGCACAGUAUCACUUUAGAGGAGAGGCUGCCAAAGUCUCUGGUGAGACUUGCCAAAAAAACAGUCACAGCAGGGUGUCUCUACGAGCUCUCUAUCCCUGUGCGUUUAGGUCUUGCUCUUAAGGAUAAUCACCUGCCACUGAAUGAAGCUAUUCACUGAGGCCAAGGGAGUGACUUAAAUACAGUCUCAAGCCUUUAAAAACUGCAAAGGUGCCAGUGCCCUCACAUUAUCGGGAGUCUCCUGAUACUUGGUUAACUUGGGCUCAGUGCCAUGUUAACACUACCACCCAGCCUUGGAACUGAAGUUGCUUUGUAGCUGGCCAGCUGGAAUUUGGGAUAGGUUGACACAUGAAUCUUUAUAUCUGCAUAUACAGCCUUGUUCUCAGUCUUCAAAUGUAUCUAAAAAUAAAAUAAAAUAAAAUAAAAUAAAAUAAAAAGGAAAAGAAAAAAUCUUCCUGAAAAUCUAUGUCCCGCUCUUUUUAUCAUCCUUCUUUUACAUUUUACAUGAGCCAAGGUUAAUUGAGCCUGGGAAAUGAAUAUGGUACGGUGAACUCAUAUAUAUGUCACUCAGCUGAGAGCAAGUAGCUAGUUUCCAUGAAAAAAAUCUUGCUCUGAUGUGAAAGAAUUCAGAUGAAAAGAGUGAGAUGCUGAUUUUGAGAGCCUACACACCUUGGAGGAAUAAGCACCAAAGGGAAUGAGUUUGAAAAGUGGUGAUAAAUUCCACUCCCUGUCUAGGCUGGCAGUUAAACCAUUCAUCCAGUAAGCACAUCUUCAAAUCUUGAGGCAAUUGAUGCUUCCUUCUCCCCUAUACAGCAGUGCCUCUCUGACCUCCUAAGAGAGGAGCAGGAUUCUGGUGACCGGAGUUACUGAUAAAUUUUUGCCUUUGCUCUUGAAAUUAAGUCAUUGUAUCCAGAAGAGUCAAGUGACUACAAAAAUUAAUAAUUUAUUUUUUUUUAAAAAAGUCUCCAACAGUCCUUUGAGUGGGAGAGAAAUGGAAUUCUAGCUCUAGCUCAGAAUAGAUAUGUAUUUUUUAUGCUAUUUGGUUACAAGGACAAAAGGACAAUGGAAUACGAAUAUUCCAAUGGUAGUAAAGACCUGGAAAAACAUGAGAAAAAAAAAAAAAAAAAAACAGAUUUUCAUCUUUCUUACUAAAUUCAGUAACAAUUCAGAGAGAGUCACUUACAAGUCUAAGUAAGUGACAAGAGUCACUUAGUCCUGAUUCACAUCAGUCUCCUCAGCAGGCAGGUGGAACAUGCCCUUUUUUGUGGCUGUCAUUAAGGCUGCUGACAGUGUUAGCCCAGGGCUGGGAAUGGGCCAGACUUCUCUGGAAAAGUAGAUAGCUCAUUGACUUACCAUCCUCUGAUUAAACCAGAAUCACAUCAGAAUUUAUCUGGGCAAUGGGCAUAUGUCUUUAGCAGCCAGCUCUAAACAAGCAUGGCUACUUCCAGAAAUAGCAAACUUUAAGCCAGAGAGGAAGGCUGUAUAGAGAGGCCUAAAUUUUAUACAUUUCGGUUUUGUGAGGAUUAGGCAGUGCUGAAAAGUGAUGACCUAGAUAAUGGUCUGGGCUGUGGGCAAGUUUGGACUUCUAAAUCCAAAUUAGACUGACCUUAAGUGAUCUCUAAAUUCUCUUAGCUUCAUAUUAGGCCUAAAUCUUAUGCUGCAUCUAGCCCGUAAGUUCUUUCUUGGAUCUAGUUUCCAAUGUCAGACUUUUUUGUUUCUUUGAGUUUUGAAGAUUUUUUUUUUUCAAAGAAAGAGUUUCUGUAUGGAAAACAUCUCUGAUGAUUUAUAUAUUUCUGUAGUAAUCCCCUAAUUCAUUAGAAGCAGCAUCUCUAUUCAAAGGAUUACUAUGUAAAUAUGUGCAUAAAAUGUAAGGAAGUUAACUUUUAAAAGGGACAGACACUUUGGUUUUUAGAAACAUUUUUAUUUGUAAUGUUGUUUCCAGCUGUGAUAAAUAAAGGUCUGAACUGCAGUGGGAAAUGGA